UAGAGUUUGAUCAUGGCUCAGGAUGAACGCUAGCGGCAGGCCUAAUACAUGCAAGUCGGACGGGAUAGAAGAGCUUGCUUUUCUUGAGAGUGGCGCACGGGUGCGUAACACGUAUGUAACCUACCYUUAUCAGGGGGAUAGCCUCUCGAAAGAGAGAUUAAGCCCGCAUAAAAUGAAGACACAGCAUUGUGAUUUCAUCAAAUAUUUAUAGGAUAAGAGAUGGGCAUGCGGAACAUUAGCUAGUUGGUAAGGUAAYGGCUUACCAAGGCUACGAUGUUUAGGGGAUCUGAGAGGAUGACCCCCCACACUGGUACUGAGACACGGACCAGACUCCUACGGGAGGCAGCAGUAAGGAAUAUUGGUCAAUGGGCGGAAGCCUGAACCAGCCAUGCCGCGUGCAGGAAGACGGCCCUACGGGUUGUAAACUGCUUUUGUACCGGAAUAAACC
rnacentral:rRNA from 1 species